CAGUCGCCGCGGUAAUACAGAGGGUGCGAGCGUUAAUCGGAUUUACUGGGCGUAAAGCGUGUGUAGGUUGUUGUUCAAGUCAGUUGUGAAAUCCCUGGGCUCAACCUGGGAACUGCUUCUGAGACUGAACGACUAGAGUACGGUAGAGGGUGGUGGAAUUUCCGGUGUAGCGGUGAAAUGCGUAGAUAUCGGAAGGAACACCUGUGGCGAAAGCGGCUCACUGGACCAUAACUGACGCUGAUGCACGAAAGCUAGGGGAGCAAACAGGAUUAGAUACCCCGGUAGUCCCUGUCUCUUAUAC
rnacentral:rRNA from 1 species